rnacentral:rRNA from 1 species
AGCUUCAGUAGCGUAUAUUAAAGUUGUUGCAUUUAAAAAGCUCGUAGUUGGUGUAUCGCUUGUCAGUGGGUUGCUUACAGCAAUCUGCUGAUGGGUCGUUGUUGGCUGUCGCCGUGGUCACCGUGAGUAAAUUAGCGUGAUCCAAACAGGUUUUUGCUUGAAUGUUUCAGCACGGGAUGGGUUAUUGACUUUUGCCGCAGUUACAUUGUUGUGAUUGAUGCAAUCGUAAUCGUUAAGAAGGACAGUUGAUGGAAUCUGUAUUGAGUUGCUAGAGGUGAAAUUCUUGGACCAACUCAAGACGGACUGAAGCGAAAGCCUUUUCCACACAUGCUCCUU